rnacentral:lncRNA from 1 species
GAAAGAAAGAAUACCUUUCCAAAUAAGACACAAAGAUUUGAGACUUCAGAACAAUUAGAAUUCCCUGCCUUAUGGAGCUCAUAUUCUGUUGGGGAACAUACAGAAAUCUUGCAUAUUAGUAGGAAAGCACAAUAAAAAAUGAACUAUAAAUAGCUGACAAGGCUGUUAACACAAGUGGUAUUAAACACCAGAAAAGUGUUCACUCUCCCUCAAAACAAAUGAAAUGUAAGAUCUCCCUGGUUGUCUAGUGGAUAGGGAAAAAAAUAAGAAUAAAAAUGAGUCCAGUGCAGUGGCUCACGCCUGUAAUCCCAGCACUUUGGGAGGCCGAGGUGGGUGGAUUACCUGAGGUCAGGAGUUCGAGACCAGCCUGAUCCAUAUGGCAAAACCCCGUCUCUACUAAAAAUAGAAAAAUUAGCCGGGCAUGGUGGCAUAUGCAUGUAGUCCCAGCUACUUGGGAGACUGAGACAGAAAUGCUUGAAACCAGGAAGCAGAGGUUACGGUGAGCCAAGAUCACGCCAUUGCACUCCAGCCUGGGUGACAGAGAGACACACAAAAGAUUAUAAUAAAAAAUAAAAAUGAAAUGCAAGUUAAACUUUAGUAAGAUACCAUCUUCAUCCAUUGACUUUGCAAAAUCAAAAAGUAUAAUAAGGCCAGGCGCAGUGGCUCAUGCCUGUAAUCUCAAAGUACUGUGAUUACAGGUAAGAUGAGGGAUAGCUAGAAGCCAGGAGUUCAAGACCAGCCUGGGUAACAUGUUGAGACCCCAUCUCUACAAAAACUUUAAAAAAUUAGUUGGGCAUGUUGACACAUGCCUGUAGCCCUAGCAACCCAGGAGGCUGAGGUGGGAGGAUCGCUUGAGCCCAGGAGUUGAGGCUGCAGUGAGUUAUAACCAUGCCACUGCACUCCAGCCUGGGAAAUACACUGAGACCCUGUCUUUUUUUUUUUUUUUUUUUUUUUUUUUUUUUUUUUUUUUUUUUGAGACAGAUUCUCACUCUGUCGCCCAGGCUGGAGUGCAGUGACACUAUCUCAGCUCACUGCAAGCUCUGCCUCCCAGGUUCACACCAUUCUCCUGCCUCAGCCUCCCGAGUAGCUGGGACUACAGGUGCCUGCCACCACGCCUGGCUAAUUUUUUGUAUUUUUAGUAGAGACAGGGUUUCACCGUGUUAGCCAGGAUGAUCUCAAUCUCCUGACCUCACGAUCCGCCCGCCUCGGCCUCCCAAAGUACUGGGAUUACAGGCGUGCGCCACCAUGCCUGGCCAACCCUGUCUCUUAAAAAAAAAAAAAAAAGUAUAAUAAUAUGCCAUGUUGACAAAGGUAUACAGAAAUGGGCACUCUCUUGCAUCCUUGAUAUGAGUAUAGAUUGGUUCAACGUCUUUGAAAAGCAAUUUGUCAAUAUCUAUCACAAUUGCAAAUACUUGUGCUCUUUAGCCCAACAAUUUUGCUUCUAAGAAUUUAUGCUACAGAUAUAUUUGUAUAUGUGUGUAGUGGGAGGUAUAAAAGGCUGUUUGCUGUAUGUACCAUUGCUUCCAAUGGAGAAAGGUUGACACACAGCCUAGAUAUCUAUCACUAAGAGAGUAUUUAAACAAACAGGGACUCUAAAAUACUAGAAGUUGUUUAAAAAUAUAGAGUUGCUGAAAAGAAUGAGGCAGGUAUAUAUGUACAAAAGAUUCUUCAAAAUAUAUGAAGUGAACAAAAGCCAAGUUCUGAACAGUUAUGUACAAUGCUAUACUGGUAAAUGCUUAACAACAUAAAAACACUAUAAGUACACAGAUAUGUACAUGAGAUAAUUACAAAGUUUACUAAUAAAAAGGAUGUAUAGUACAUAAUUUGCAAAUAAAAUAUACAAGUCUUUAUUGUAAAUUCCAUUCUAUAAUGUCAAUGUGACUUGCUAUUUCUUAAAAAUUCCAAUGUCGUUAAUAAUUUUAUCAUCCAUGAUUGUGUCCCAAAAUAAUACUCUGAAUAAGCUUAAUUAUAAUUUGAUCAGCAGAGAAGUUGCUCAUAUCAUUGACAAAUGUGUGUGGUUCAAACAUGAAUGUUGGUUGAUAUUUCAUUUUUAUUCAUAAUUAAAAUGGAAAUGAGACAACAAAUAUGUAUGUUGGAACUUCACUUGUCUAUCAAUGACAUGAGCAACUUCUUUGCUGAAUUAGAUGAUAGUUUUUGAAUACUGGAAGAAUAUUUCCUGAAGUUUUUGUGCUCAUCACAAUGUAACAGACUCAGACAUAACACUCAUGUUAAUUCUUCUUCUUAUUAUUUUCUCCAUCACUUUCUUAAGUCUAGACCAAGAGUCAGCAAACCAUGGCCCUUGAGCCGAAUCUAGCCUGCUAUCUGGCUUUGCCAAUAAAGCCUGGAACAUAGCCACGUUCAUGACUUAUCCACGACUGCCUUUGCACUACAACAACAGGGUUGAGUGUUGCAACAGAGACCGUGUGGCCCACAAAGCCUAAAAUAUAUACUAUCUGGCCUUUUACAGACAACUUUUGCAGACCUCUGGUCCGGACAAUGAACAACCCAUAGAACAAGAUCUGAUUUGUAAUGUUUGCUGAUCUCCAAAGUGUAAAUACUCCCACCAUGACCAAUUGGAAGCCACUGACAAGUCCUCACUAAAUGCAGAAUUGAGAAGAAACACGAAUAGCACAUCAUUGUAUGGUAUUUCCACUCUACCAAUGGAUGUGAAUAACCUCAAGAACACAUAAUGUUGAGAUGUGGAAAAAUCAUCAGGAAGCCGUGAGUUUUGACUAUUUGCUUUUUAGCUAAUUAAUUAUAAGGUCACAUAAUUUAGUGUUUAAUAAUCACUAUGUUAACAACCAGCUCACAGCAUUCCUGAAAAUUUCACAGUUGGCUCCUGUAAGCUGAUAUGGCCAGCCCCAGCUCAUGACAGGUUACGGUAUGCUGUCAAUUGUGUGGAAAACGUAUCGGGAGGUCAUGACUGUAUAUCCACAUAAGCUUCUCUAUGCACAGAGUAUCUCUGGAAGAUGCAUAAGAAAUUGCAACAGCUGUUGCUUCCGCAGUGGGCAAAUGGAGGUCUGGGAGUUGAGUUGGGGAUGCACAUUUAUUUUUUACUAUAUGUUCUUUUGUAGAGAAUAUAAAUUGGUAUGAAUUUUUUAAGCAUAUGUCUGUGUUACCCUUAAAUCCCAAUGGAUCUUUUAUAAGCAAGCUCUUCCAUCUUUUUUUUCCCGAGUCUCCCCUUCACCCUGCAGUGUCUCUGCAAUGCUGGUAGAGUGGGCUGGCACAGCCCCCGCCUCUGGCCUGGUCCGGGUCCAACCUGCCUGCCUCCUGGGGCAGCAGCUCCCUGAACGAAGAGCCGCGGAGACCGAAGAACUCAGUGAAUCAGCAGUUCUCCCAGAUGAAACGCUGGCCUGAAAGCAGCCUCAAGAGCUUUGGCCCGUCACCUUGCCUUGCCUUCUCUUCCUUCCUCGUCCUCUGUUUGUUCAUCUUUCCUGAAAAAAUUAAGUCAGCUGUUCCCCUUAACCAAUUUCCCUGGCAUUCUGAAGGGUAGGCCACAUGGCCCACCUGCCAGCUACUCCCACCUGCCAAGCCUUCCUGACUAUAUUUACCCUGGUACUCCCAUGUCCCGGGGCUGCUUCAGCAGAGCCAAGGACACACCCAGGUGUUUGUUUUCUAGGUCAGAU